rnacentral:rRNA from 1 species
GUAGGUGGCAAGCGUUGUCCGGAAUUAUUGGGCGUAAAGCGCGCGCAGGCGGGUUCUUUAAGUCUGAUGUGAAAGCCCACGGGCUCAACCGUGGAGGGUCAUUGGAAACUGGAGAACUUGAGUACAGAAGAGGAAAGCGGAAUUCCACGUGUAGCGGUGAAAUGCGUAGAGAUGUGGAGGAACACCAGUGGCGAAGGCGGCUUUCUGGUCUGUAACUGACGCUGAGGCGCGAAAGCGUGGGGAGCAAACAGGAUUAGAUACCCUGGUAGUCCACGCCGUAAACGAUGAGUGCUAAGUGUUAGGGGGUUUCCGCCCCUUAGUGCUGCAGCUAACGCACUAAGCACUCCGCCUGGGGAGUACGGCCGCAAGGCUG